AUUGAACGCUGGCGGCAUGCCUUACACAUGCAAGUCGAACGGCAGCACGGGAGCAAUCCUGGUGGCGAGUGGCGAACGGGUGAGUAAUAUAUCGGAACGUGCCCAGUCGUGGGGGAUAACGUAGCGAAAGCUACGCUAAUACCGCAUACGAUCUAUGGAUGAAAGCGGGGGAUCGCAAGACCUCGCGCGAUUGGAGCGGCCGAUAUCAGAUUAGGUAGUUGGUGAGGUAAAGGCUCACCAAGCCGACGAUCUGUAGCUGGUCUGAGAGGGAGAUCCCCCACACUGGUACUGAGACACGGACCAGACUCCUACGGGAGGCAGCAGUGAGGAAUAUUGGACAAUGGGCGCAAGCCUGAUCCAGCAAUGCCGCGUGCAGGAUGAAGGCCUUCGGGUUGUAAACUGCUUUGUACGGAACGAAACGGUGAGCUCUAAUACAGUUUGCUAAUGACGGUACCGUAAGAAUAAGCACCGGCUAACUACGUG
rnacentral:rRNA from 1 species